GGUCAUCGAGGAGAGACCAUAUUACUCCCGUAUUGAAGGAGUUACACUGGCUGCCGAUAUAUUUACGGGCAAAAUACAAGAUACAGCAGCAGAAAGCAGGCUCACCAACUGGAUGCAAAUCUGGAUGGGAAUGCAACAGAUUUAGAGGCUGGAAUCAGAGUAUGAAGUGCUGAAGAACGCAGUUGUGUGUAAUUGUGGUCUUCCACUUUGCAGAUGGAAAUGAUUUGGUUCACACUGGUUUUGCGCAGGUCUGAAUGAUUACGGAAGACACCCUGGAGAAAACACAAAAGCAAGCAAGAGGAGAUGCGGCUAAUGCUAAUGGGAAUCUAAUCACCAGCAGGAGCUCAUUCAAAACAUUAAAGCAGCUGCUGAAGCAUUGCGGGGCUGAAACCUUGAAGACAUCAGCCAGUCAUUUACAAACAGGGUCAAGCUGUGCCAUCCCUCUCCACCAGACAGAGAUCUUGGAUGCCAUCCCAUCAGCAAAAGGAGUUACCUUCAGGACACAAGUUGUAAAGAGAGAACACUACUAUCGUACCAGGAGCCCUUAGUGCUGGUGGUAUAUUCUUUCUUGCAGCAAAAUCCUAUGGAUGUUUAUGAAGAAAUCAGGAAUUUGUAAUGGCUGGAGGCAGUUUGAAAUGAAGCAAUCGAGCAGAUGAGGCAAGUAUUUCAGCAUCUCUAAAUACCAAAUUCUUUCACCCCCUUUCUUUGUUUGGCUCUGUAAAUAACUUUUGCCAAGGCUUAAUCCUAGAGACAGUAGGGGGAAAGUUACUACAUUGCCUGGAAUAGUAUCUUCACCCCGGAAAUAGACCAGCUUGAGCAGGAAACUACAGACAAAUACAAACAAUUAGAGAACCUUCAUUCUGAGAAUCAUCUGCAAAAGCUUAAAAAAAAAGAUUCUGCCAAAUUUAAGAAAAUAAACUCAUAACAAAAAUCAUGACACAAGGUAAGGAAUGAUUCAAGGUAAGGAACAUAACUUGUUGCACUGUUUCAGAAAAGGAGAAGCAAAAAACUUCAGAUAUUAUCACCAGCACAGAAGUAUGUACUUUGUUGCUAAAGAAAGCAGCCAUUUGGUUUCUUUCC